rnacentral:rRNA from 1 species
GCACAAGCGGUGGAGUAUGUGGUUUAAUUCGACGCAACGCGAAGAACCUUACCAGGGCUUGACAUCCUCUGACAACCCAAGAGAUUGGGCCUUCUGCCUUCGGGUAGACAGAGAGACAGGUGGUGCAUGGUUGUCGUCAGCUCGUGUCGUGAGAUGUUGGGUUAAGUCCCGCAACGAGCGCAACCCUUAUCUUUAGUUGCCAUCAGGUAAUGCUGGGCACUCUAGAGAGACUGCCGGUGACAAACCGGAGGAAGGUGGGGAUGACGUCAAAUCAUCAUGCCCCUUAUGUCCUGGGCUACACACGUACUACAAUGGCCGGUACAAAGGGCGGCGAAGGGGUGACCUGGAGCAAAUCCCAGCAAAACCGGUCUCAGUUCGGAUUGUAGUCUGCAACUCGACUACAUGAAGUCGGAAUCGCUAGUAAUCGCAGGUCAGCAUACUGCGGUGAAUACGUUCCCGGGCCUU